rnacentral:tRNA from 1 species
GUCCGGGUGGCGGAAUGGUAGACGCGCUAGCUUGAGGUGCUAGUGACCGCUUUUAGGUCGUGGGGGUUCAAGUCCCCUCUCGGACA